UUGCGGGAAUUAUGGCGACCUUCUCUCUCUCGAUAAAACUAAUUUUAUAUUUGAAAAAUAUAACUAUGAGUAUCAAUACGAUUUUUUUUCUACGGCAUCAAGCUGAAAUCUCAUUUACACGAUCACAAUCCAUGUUAGAUGAAAUUAGAUACUAUGCGAUUUAUUGAGCACCUAUUUUGUUGAUCGCGAAAGCGCUAUAUUAAUAUAUAAUUUACAUC